CAGGGGCUUUGCAGCCUCAUCAGAGGCGUCUUAUUCUCUUUCUUUCCCUCUCGCUUGCAACCGAUAUUCUGCAACCGAUAUUCUGCAAAUCCCAUAUCUGACGAUUCUCCACCCUGCUACAAGGACGCCUGGAUUACAGCUCCCGUAAUCACUCACAGGCUUUGCUUGCUGAAGUGCGAUGGCUCAGGGGUUAAAGAGGCUGAGCUUGUCAGCUGGAAAACUGAUAGCCUGGGAUCGAGACCUGAGUGCUGUGCGACAGGCUGAGCUCCCAUCCUCCUGUCCACCUAGCAGUUCAAAAGCAUGAAAAUAAAAUUUCUAUUUCAUGCAAGAAGUCUGCCAGGAGUUUGCAGUCAGCCAUAAAUACAGAUAUUGUCUUUUCUUCAAUCAAAGAAGUUAAUUUAGCCAUCUUUGCAAGUUCCAACAUCUUCAUCAACAAUUUCUCCAUUUUGUGAAGUGUCUACACUUUUAAUUGUUAGGCAUACAGGCAUAAUUUUGCUGACAUCUUUUCCUCCUUGAAUACAAAAUCCUGCACAUUUGUAGAAAAUACUACUUUAACUAAAUCUGAUUUGAACCUCACUAACUCAUGGGCUGGAGAUAAAAUGGACAUGAGUGAUGAAAGUUGCCAUGCCAUGUGUGCAUUUUGGUCCAUGGAGAGAAUGGAGAAUGGCAUGUAGACAUUCCAAAGCCUUUGGGAUCCUUAAUGAUGCUAAAGUAUUACACCAUUGUGUCAGAAUGCUAGAUGAAAGCUGGUCUCCCAUACUCAAGUAUUACUGAGAAUUUAUACUGAUGUGAUAUUGUCAGGCUUCACAAAUGUCACCAAAAUAAGGACAAUCAGUAAAAUUCGUUUAGUUUUAGUUUGGCACUGUAAGCAAAUUCAAUUGGAGAAUAGUUCAUAGAACAUCUAAAGCCAUAAUCAAAGAAACCAUAUGUAAGUUAAUGAUUGUGAAAAUUCAGCCUGUUGGGUUUCCAAAAGUUAUGGUUAAUCAAACCAUAGUUUAUUGCACCUAAACCAGUGUAUUAUGCAAAGUUGGGAUGGACAGCCUGACAUUUCAGAUCUGAUUUGCUUGUGAACUUUGAUCUUUGUUUUGCAGAAUCCUUAGUGCAGUUCUUGAAAAUUGGCACUGUGUUCUAUUGGCAUGUUGAGCUAACAAAUACAAAAGUCCUGUGUAAUCUAAUAUACCUAUAAUAUGGUUUAAAAAAUAAAGAGAGCCUUCUGGAUUACCAGGUUUG